rnacentral:rRNA from 1 species
UACGGGGGGAGCAAGCGUUGUUCGGAUUUACUGGGCGUAAAGGGCGCGUAGGCGGCCACCGCAAGUCGAUUGUGAAAUCUCCGGGCUUAACCCGGAAAGGUCAACCGAUACUGCGGGGCUAGAGUGCAGAAGGGGCAACUGGAAUUCUCGGUGUAGCGGUGAAAUGCGUAGAUAUCGAGAGGAACACCUGCGGCGAAGGCGGGUUGCUGGGCUGACACUGACGCUGAGACGCGAAAGCGUGGGGAGCGAACAGG